rnacentral:rRNA from 1 species
AGGGUUCGAUUCUGGCUACAGGACGAACGCUGGCGGCGUGCUUAACACAUGCAAGUUGAACGGGAUCCACCCCAUGAAGUUCUCGGAUGGAAUGAGAUGGUGAGAGUAGCGGACGGGCGAGUAACGCGUGAGUAACCUGCCCUAUGCAGGGGGAUAACACCGGGAAACCGGUGCUAAUACCGCAUAACACCACAGUAUCGCAUGGUACAGUGGUCAAAGCUGCGGCGGCAUAGGAUGGACUCGCGUCUAAUUUAGCUGGUUGGUGAGGGUAAUGGCUCACCAAGGCGACGAUUGGUAGCCGAACUGAGAGGUUGGUCGGCCGCAUUGGGACUGAGACACGGCCCAGACUCCUACGGGAGGCAGCAGUGGGGAAUAUUGCGCAAUUGGAGGAAACUCUGACGCAGCAACGCCGCGUGAAGGAAGAAGGCUUUCGGGUUGUAAACUUCUUUGAUCGGGGACGAAGAUGACGGUACCCGAGGAACAAGCCACGGCUAACUACGUGCCAGCCGCCGC